UUCACUAAGUAUAUAAUAAUCUUGCAAAAAAAAAAAAAAAAAAGAGUCAAUGCGCGAUCUCUGAAUCUUAGCAGGUUUAGGUCUGGUUAGUACUUGGAUGAGAGACUGCCUGGGAAUACCAGGUGCUUUAAGCUUUUUGGAAAUCUUUCAGUAAUUAUAUAAUAAUCUUGCCAAAAAUAAAAUAUCAAUGCCCGAUCUCUGAAUAUUAGCAGGUUUGGGCCUUGUUAGUGCUUGGAUGGGAGACGGCCUGGGAAUACCAGGUGCUUUAAGCUUUUUGGAAAUUUUUCAGUAAUUAUAUAAUAAUCUUGCCAAAAAAAGAGUCAAUGCCCAAUCUCUGAAUAUUAGCAGGUUUGGGCCUGGUUAGUACUUGGAUGGGAGACCGCCUUGGA